rnacentral:rRNA from 1 species
GAGCGUCGUUUGCGACGCCCAACACACAAAACAAGCGGUGAGUGCUUUGGGGUGGGGUGACUGCGUACCUUUUGUAUAAUGGGUCAGCGACUUAUAUUCUGUAGCAAGGUUAACCGUAUAGGGGAGCCGAAGGGAAACCGAGUCUUAACUGGGCGUUAAGUUGCAGGGUAUAGACCCGAAACCCGGUGAUCUAGCCAUGGGCAGGUUGAAGGUUGGGUAACACUAACUGGAGGACCGAACCGACUAAUGUUGAAAAAUUAGCGGAUGACCUGUGGCUGGGGGUGAAAGGCCAAUCAAACCGGGAGAUAGCUGGUUCUCCCCGAAAGCUAUUUAGGUAGCGCCUCGUGAACUCAUCUUCGGGGGUAGAGCACUGUUUCGGCUAGGGGGUCAUCCCGACUUACCAACCCGAUGCAAACUGCGAAUACCGAAGAAUGUUAUCACGGGAGACACACGGCGGGUGCUAACGUCCGUCGUGAAGAGGGAAACAACCCAGACCGCCAGCUAAGGUCCCAAAGUCACAGUUAAGUGGGAAACGAUGUGGGAAGGCUCAGACAGCCAGGAUGUUGGCUUAGAAGCAGCCAUCAUUUAAAGAAAGCGUAAUAGCUCACUGGUCGAGUCGGCCUGCGCGGAAGAUGUAACGGGGCUAAACUGUGCACCGAAGCUGCGGCAGCGACGCUUAUGCGUUGUUGGGUAGGGGAGCGUUCUGUAAGCCUGCGAAGGUGUCCUGUGAGGGAUGCUGGAGGUAUCAGAAGUGCGAAUGCUGACAUAAGUAACGAUAA